rnacentral:misc_RNA from 1 species
GAUGAAGAACGUAGCGAAAUGCGAUACGUAAUGUGAAUUGCAGAUUUCAGUGAAUCAUCGAAUCUUUGAACGCACAUUGCGCCCGCCAGUAUUCUGGCGGGCAUGCCUGUUCGAGCGUCAUUUCAACCAUCAAGCGCCUCGCUUGUGUUGGGGCCCUGCGGCUGCCGCAGGCCCCUAAAUCCAGUGGCGGGCUCGUCGUCGUACCGAGUGCAGUAAACAUCCUCGCUCAGGGAACCCGACGGGUGCCGGCCGUGAAACCCCCCCUCCUCAAGGUUGACCUCGGAUCAGGUAGGAAUACCCGCUGAACUUAAGCAUAUCAAAAGCGGAGGA